ensembl:misc_RNA Metazoa_SRP Metazoan signal recognition particle RNA
GCCAGGCGUGGUGGUGCGCGCCUGUAGUCCCAGCUACUCAGGAGGCUGAGACAGGAGAAUCACUUGAACCUGGGAGGCAGAGGUUGCAGUGAGUCGAGGUGGCACCACUGCACUCCAGCCUGGGCAACAGAGUGAGACUCUGUCUCAA